AGUUUGAUCUCAGACUGCUGUGCUAGCAAUCAGCGAGAUUCCGUGGGCGUAGGACCCUCCGAGCCAGGUGUGGGAUAUAGUCUCGUGCUGCGCCGUUUUUUAAGCCGGUCUGAAAAGCGCAAUAUUCGGGUGGGAGUGACCCGAUUUUCCAGGUUAGAAGCCGGUGUAAGAGAGAUGGCUGCUGAAGACACAUAGCCGCACGUGUGAACAUGGCCUCACAGCUUGCCUCUCCAUAAGAGGUUUAUUUGUCUUCUCAUAUUUGUUCAAUGUGGACAAGAACCUUCUGGCCCCUGCUCCUCUUUUGCAUUUGGAAUCCUUUGACUUCUGCUUUCUUGAGGAGUGAGGCUCCUGGGCAAGUUGUCACCCAACUCUGGGCAGUCAUCCCAGGACCUGAGAGUCACUGCAAAUCCUUGCUCAGAACCCCAUGCCCAUGUGUUCAUCCUUGCGUACUUUCCCAGGCCCCAGACCAAAUUAAAACUUGGCAGUUGAAUCACGGUUUUCACAAAAUCAGCCCAACAAACUAUGGCUCCAAGUCCAGCAGGGCUGGGCCACUCAAGGCAGAGUAAAGCUUCAGAGACAGAAAUGGAAAGCUGACCAGGGCUGCCCAGGAGCCGUGACGAAGGAGACUUGUCACUCUGUUGCUGCAAACACAGAAGUGUUUAGAGUGUGUAGGCCACUGUUCCAGGUAAGAGUCUCAUGGAGAACUUGAGAAGGACUGUGUGUGUGCGGCCAAGGUAAGUCUCAGACGGAAGGCAUGUGCUAACAGGGCAGCUAACAGAUCUGCAGAAUGUAAUGUGCCUGACCCUGAGCUGCUGAUCUACCUCACACUCCAAUUCAAUUCAGUCCUUUCAGUUGCUUAAGGAAAUCAGCAGUUAUCUGAUUUCUCAACGAGUCCUGUAGGUUCUACUAUAAAAAUAUAUGGAAGAACCACCUAUUUCUCACCACUGCUAUUUAGACCAUGCUGCUCCACCCACUUCUACCUUCACCUGGGCUCUGGGUUACUGCGGUAACUUCCUCCUCGG
rnacentral:lncRNA from 1 species